AUGGUCCCUGGGCAUGCCUUACACCGUGGCCAAGCCGAGUUGAGCCCACCGGGAAGAACAGGGAUUUUCCAAGUACCAGAAGAGAACCCUCUCUGCCAUUGCAGCACUGAAUUUUCUACUUUUUUUUUCUGGAGAUAUUGCUGCUGCAACACUCGUGUUGACUCGAUGGCCCAGGUCCAGCAGGGAGCACGGAAGCUGCUGAGCGCUGAGAUUAUUCCCCACUGCGAGGAGUGUGCUGGCGCUGUGUGGCCCUGCUUAGCCUGGAGGAGUAAAAUUAGUGUUUGCCACGCUCUAACUCCGACACUUCCAGACGCUCGCCCUGCUCUGCCCCGUGAACUACCAUGUCUGCCGCCGCUGGCCCUGCUCCUGCUGCAAGUAUUGCUGUGUUUACAGGAAAUAUUUACAGGAAACGGGCUUUUCUGGCUGCAGGAUCACCAUCCCUCACCACCCCUUUGCGCUCACUUCAAGUUCUCAGUUCUGGGCGACCCAUCCCUCUGGAGAGCGGGCCUCCACCUGCCUCGGGGGGCUCAAAGUGAGUCUGAGGCUCCCCUGCCAGAGCUGGGUCUCACUGCCCGGUGACAGCAGCACUGCUGUUCUCGCUCCCCUUUAUAAAAGCACCGAUGUGUUUCCAAUAGCAGCCAGGGGCUGCCCCGGAGCAGUGGAAGUCGCACAUCUCGGUGUGAUCAGAGCAUCCCCGGCUCUGCUGAGCCCAGCCACAAAGAAACUCCACCAACUCCAGCACUCAGGAUCCGUCCCAGGCAGCUAAAUGUUUGGCCCUUUUGCUUCCUGUCUAAAUACCGGUGCUUAUUCCUGGGUGUAGCCAGAUCCUACUCAGCUGUUUCUUGCCCCUGUAGGUGCUGCCCCACGGGCCCUGGCGUUACGGCCCCUAUGAGCAGGUGGUGGGGACGGUGGGAGUGGGGACGGGAAGGGGACCACGGAAAGCACGUGGCUGUGGUGGUGUCCCAACGCUGCCUGCCCUUGACAGCCCUCGUGCAAUGGACAAGGAAGAGACAGAGGUGUUAAAUAGUAGCUGACGUGAGUAUUCCAGGGGAAAAAAGCUCAGUUUGGGUCAUAUAGAAUGGAAGCCUAUAAAAAUUAAAUCAAUUUUACAAUGAAAAGUACAAAUAUUUAGAAAUUCUGCCUACUUUUAUGUUCUUCAGCUGAAACUAUUCACUACAUCUGACCAAAAUGCCGUAGCAGCUCUGACCUCUCACAUUUUUCAGCUAAUUUCCAAAGCUGCUUUACUGAGCUCACCCCGAUUAUGCGCUGCUGCCUGCUGAAAGCACCCAGCCAAGGCAUCCCUGGCACCGAGAGCCUCUCCUGAAGUAGGAAGGAGCAGUGCUGGCUGUGCUGGGGUUAGGGACAUUUGCCCUGAUUGCACUGGUCUCACUGGGAGGGGAAAAGCAGAGACAGGCUCCUCUUCUCGCUCCCGGAAGGCAGGAGGCCCUGGGCCCCUUCCUGGGCAUCCCCCUCUCCAUCCCACGUCCUCUCACAAACAUUUGCCAUGUCUUAGCACCAGCGUGCCCGGAGUGGCAGGCUCUGCUGGGGAGGCAGUUUCCAUCCUACAGCCCUGAGCAGGUGCUGGAGCGGAGGCUGAACGUCCCCCCCAGCCCCGUGACCUCUCUCCCUUCUCGCUGAGUGUCCGUGCAGGGUACUGGGGACCAGACACCUUCACCGCGGCUCCUGCGGGGCAUCCUCCAGCUCCUUUACACAGAGCACAGGUCCUGUGUUUUUGUGGGAACGCAGGAGGUGCUCUGGGGCUGGGGCGGAUGGGGAGGAUUGCUGUAAACGCGCUGGGGAUGCCCCACUCUGGGCUCCUGCUCUUUAUCCCUGACUUCAAAUGGAUGCUGAAAAUCCUGAGAUGGACGGAGGGGUGAAAAUACCAGAAGCCAGCCUGUCAAUCACAGAAAACCCUGCAAGUAAGCUCACGGCACAGCUGGGGCUCAGCACUGCCACGGCCCCAGGCAGCGCCCGCGUUUCCUCACGAGGGAACAAUCUCCCCGGUGGCUCUGGGGUGGGUUUGGCCACCCCGCUGCCACCCGCCCCGCAGCGUGUCCCAGUCCCUGCGCCCAUCCUGCGGCGGUGCCAGCCCAGCCAAACGCACUGCAGGCUCCUGGGGAGGCGAGAGGCUGCGGGGUCUCCGUCUCCUCCGGCCAUUCCUCCGCCUCUGUUUGGAUAACUUUUUCACCCAUUUUGUUUAGGAGGACUCCCCUCCUUCUGCCAACAGUCUGACUUUUCUCUCAUUUCAGCCCGGGAGGCCCUUCUUUCUCUUUUAUUAUUAUUAUUUUUUUUUCUCUUCCCCCUCGCGAGGCCCCAGGCUCAGCAGCCUGGCCCCAGGACAGACUCGCGAGCCACGGGUGUCUGCGCUGCCUUUGUUUGUGCACCAAGCCAGAUGGGGAGAGCGGCGCAGGUGGGAUGUGGAGCAAUUCUUCCCAAGUCGGCCUGCCUGCUGACCCUCAGCCAGUCCCCGGGGAGAAUUACCGGCGGAGCUAUUCGCCUGCCUUCCCCUAAGGUCACCGAUGUGCCAGGGCUGGCAAACGGCUGCUCGCUUAGAGCCAGAUGCAAGCGGACGUCACAACUUAAUUGUAAGUGAAUAAACAGCUCGUCCAGCUCCUUGAAUAUCGUCUG
rnacentral:lncRNA from 1 species